UGCUAAAAAGACAAACUAAAAAAUAUUAUUCACUCAUUUAUUAUAAAUGAAAAACAUUGUUUCUUUGCUGAAACAGUACGGCUUCCUCUUAUGUCUCUAUGAUAUUCUCUGUAUUCUUUUUCUCUCUCCCGUGCUCUCACUCUCUUCUUCCAUUUCUCCAUAAGAGACGCGCAGCAACGAGGGGCUGCUCCUGUUGUUCACAUGCACACCCUUCCUCGAACUACCUGGCCAGGAUCCCAGUCGUCCAACCAGGGUCUUCUUUAGUUUCGAAAAGUGAAAAAUUUUCGCUACUGUAACACUUUCGUUUGUUUGUGAUAAAUAUUAUUCAAUCAUAGAUUAACUAGGAUCAAAAGAUUCGUCUCGUGAUUUACAGCUAAACUGUAUAGUUAGUUUUUGUUUUCGCCUAUAUUUAAUAUUUCAUACAUGUGCCAUAAAAUUCGAUGUGACGGAGAAUCUUGAAAACUUUUUGUUUUUCAGUGUGAAUUAAACAAGGUCUACGAGCAGCAGCCGGCGAGCAGGCCGCCUAGCACGACGCCGACGAGGUGCCUACUCUUAGCUUUUAUUUCCCUGAUUAAGGAUGACAUGACCUACAAAUGGAUAUCCGCGGUUCUUUUUUAAUAUAAUUAAAUAAAGUAAAUAAAAAAUAAAAGAAAAAAAAUUAUUUAUUUAAUUUAUUAAAUUAAACUAGAAAAAACCACACAGAUACCUACAUUUGAAACACCGUCUCUAUCCUUACCAGUGAUCCACACCCAAGCCAAGUAAAAGUCGCACAUGUAGCCACACUCAAAUUUGCUUCCAUAAUUUCUAGCUUCGGUUCCUGAUUUGGUGUUUGAUUUAAUUACUGAAAUUUGAAGAAUCGAAGGCUACUUUCUACAUCUUAUUUUUUUUUCAGGAUUUUAUUUAGUUUUCUGUAGGGUGGCCGCCGGGCGACCGGUACGGAUGCGAGCUG
rnacentral:lncRNA from 1 species